rnacentral:rRNA from 1 species
UCGCGAAUUUUUCUCAAUGGACGCAAGUCUGAAGAAGCCAUGCCGCGUGCGGGAUGAAGGCCCUCUGGGUUGUAAACCGCUGUCAGGGGAGGGGAAACGCCAGUCGUGAAUAGCGGCUGGUUUGACUGCUCUCCAAAGGAAGCCCCGGCAAAACAUGUGCCAGCAGCCGCGGUAAUACAUGUGGGGCGAGCGUUGUUCGGAAUCACUGGGCAUAAAGGGUGCGUAGGCGGCGUCGUAAGUCUUGGGUGAAAUCCUGCGGCCCAACCGUGGGUCUGCCUGAGAUACUGCGAUGCUGGAGUGCGUGAGGGGUGACUGGAACGCGUGGUGUAGCGGUGAAAUGCGUAGAUAUCACGCGGAAGGCCAACGGCGAAGGCAGGUCACUGGCACGCAACUGACGCUG